rnacentral:rRNA from 1 species
AUUGAACGCUGGCGGCAUGCUUUACACAUGCAAGUCGAACGGCAGCGCGGGCUUCGGCCUGUCGGCGAGUGGCGAACGGGUGAGUAAUACAUCGGAACGUGCCCAGUAGUGGGGGAUAGCUCGGCGAAAGCCGGAUUAAUACCGCAUACGACCUGAGGGUGAAAGCGGGGGAUCUUCGGACCUCGCGCUAUUGGAGCGGCCGAUGGCAGAUUAGCUAGUUGGUGGGGUAAAGGCCUACCAAGGCGACGAUCUGUAGCUGGUCUGAGAGGACGACCAGCCACACUGGGACUGAGACUCGGCCCAGACUCCUACGGGAGGCAGCAGUGGGGAAUUUUGGACAAUGGGCGAAAGCCUGAUCCAGCAAUGCCGCGUGUGUGAUGAAGGCCUUCGGGUUGUAAAGCACUUUUGGCGGGAACGAAAAGGACUGUGCCAAUACCACGGUUCGAUGACGGUACCCGCAGAAUAAGCACCGGCUAACUACGUG